CUGAACAUCGUGUUAUACUUG
rnacentral:misc_RNA from 1 species